UUUUUAAAUAGUACACACGUAUAAGGUACUUACCAUAACUGGAACUUGCAGGACUGAAAGUUGCUACGGGUGUCAGUGAAUGAGUGGUGAGUAA